rnacentral:rRNA from 1 species
UACGUAGGGUGCAAGCGUUGUCCGGAAUUAUUGGGCGUAAAGCGCGCGCAGGCGGUCCUUUAAGUCUGAUGUGAAAGCCCACGGCUCAACCGUGGAGGGUCAUUGGAAACUGGGGGGACUUGAGUGCAGGAGAGAAGAGUGGAAUUCCACGUGUAGCGGUGAAAUGCGUAGAGAUGUGGAGGAACACCAGUGGCGAAGGCGACUCUUUGGCCUGUAACUGACGCUGAGGCGCGAAAGCGUGGGUAGCAAACAGG